rnacentral:rRNA from 1 species
AUGUCAAUCCGCCUCGGCGCGGUCACCACUGUGGUCGUCUCCUCCCCCGCCAUGGCCCGGGAGUUCCUGCAGAAGCUUGACUCUGUGCUCGCCACCCGGUCCGUGCCCGACGCCACCGGCAAGCACGCGGCGGGCUCCGUCCCCUGGCUGCCCGCGGAGCCGCGGUGGCGCGCUCUCCGCAAGAUCAUGGCCACGGAGCUCUUCGCGCCGCACCUGCUCGACGCGCUCACGGACCACGUCGCGCGGCUGGGGCGCGAGGGCACGGCGGUGAACAUCGGACGCGUGGCCUUCACGACCAGCCUGAACCUUAUCUCUCGCACCGUCUUCUCCAUUGACUUCACGAGCCUGGACGACAUGAGCAGUUCCAAAGAGUUCCAAGAGGUGAUCACGGCCAUCAUGGAAGGCUUGGGGACCCCGAACAUGUCCGACUUCUUCCCGGUGCUCGCCCCGGCCGACCUGCAGGGCAUGCGCCGGCGGCUGGCGCGGCUGUUCGCGCGGCUGCACGCCAUGUUCGACGCCGAGGUGGACCAGAGGCUGCGCGGCCGCGACGCCGGCCAGCCCAGGAAGUACGACUUCCUCCACGUGCUGCUCGAUGUGGCAGCGCGUGAGGAUGGCAAGGACUUGCUCGACCGUGAGACGCUACGCUCACAUUUCACGGAUUUGUUUGCUGCCGGUAGUGACACAAGCUCUAGCACAGUGGAAUGGGCAAUGACUGAGCUUCUCCAAAACCCAUCAUCAUUGGCUAAGGUCUGCGACGUGCUUGCACAAAUUAGCGGCUCAAGAAGAAACAUUGAAGAAGUUGAUAUUGUUUGA